UACGAAGGGUGCAAGCGUUGCUCGGAAUUAUUGGGCGUAAAGGGUAGGUAGGUGGUUACGUAUGUCUGGGGUGAAAUCCCUGAGCUUAACUCAGGAAGUGCCUUGGAAACGGCGUAACUAGAGUGCUAGAGAGGUUCGUGGAAUUCCCAGUGUAGCGGUGAAAUGCGUAGAUAUCGUGAGGAAUACCAGAGGCGAAGGCGGCUACCUGGACAAUUGCUGACGCUCAGGCACGAAAGCGUGGGGAGCAAAAGGG
rnacentral:rRNA from 1 species